GACGAACGCUGGCGGCGUGCUUAACACAUGCAAGUCGAACGGAAAGGCCCUGCUUUUGUAGGGUGCUCGAGUGGCGAACGGGUGAGUAACACGUGAGUAACCUGCCCUUGACUUUGGGAUAACUUCAGGUAACUGGGGCUAAUACCGGAUAGGAGCUCCUGCUGCAUGGUGGGGGUUGGAAAGUUUCGGCGGUUGGGGAUGGACUCGCGGCUUAUCAGCUUGUUGGUGGGGUAGUGGCUUACCAAGGCUUUGACGGGUAGCCGGCCUGAGAGGGUGACCGGCCACAUUGGGACUGAGAUACGGCCCAGACUCCUACGGGAGGCAGCAGUGGGGAAUAUUGCACAAUGGGCGGAAGCCUGAUGCAGCAACGCCGCGUGCGGGAUGACGGCCUUCGGGUUGUAAACCGCUUUCGCCUGUGACGAAGCGUGAGUGACGGUAAUGGGUAAAGAAGCACCGGCUAACUACGUG
rnacentral:rRNA from 1 species